rnacentral:lncRNA from 1 species
AGUUUCUGGCUUAAGUUGCAUUUUUCUGAAUUGCUAGAGCUUUUGCCAUUUUUGUUGUGGUUUUUAGCCUUGGGAAGUUUUUGAGUAUGAUUAUAUGCAUUUUCAGCCGGUGGUUUACCCUUUUUUAUUAUUUCUAUUUUGCGACUAUGUUUUGUUCCCUUCAGCUGAUAUAGAGUUGGUUGCUUGUGUUAUCAGUCAGUGGUUAUCCCUGUGGUGAUUUUGCUCCC